CCUACGGGGUGCUGCAGUGGGGAAUAUUGCACAAUGGGGGAAACCCUGAUGCAGCGACGCCGCGUGAGUGAAGAAGUAUUUCGUUAUGUAAAGCUCUAUCAGCAGGUACGAAAAUGACGGUACCUGUCUAAGAAGCCUCUGCUAACUACCGGCAAUCAGCCGCGGUAUUACGUAGGGGGCAAGCGUUAUCCGGAUUUACUGGGUGUAAAGGGAGCGUAUACGGCCAGAAAAGUCAGAAGUGAAAGCCCAGGGCUCAACCCUGGGACUGCUUUUGAAACUUCCGGGCUGGAGUGCAGGAGAGGUAAGUGGAAUGCCUAGUGUAGCAGUGAAAUGCGUAGAUAUUAGGAGGAACACGAGAGGCGAAGGCGACUUACUGGACUGUAGCUGACGUGGAGGCUCGAGAGCGUGGGGAGCGAACAGGAGUAGAUACCCGAGUAGUC
rnacentral:rRNA from 1 species